rnacentral:lncRNA from 1 species
UUCACAGGGUAUGUCUGGAUUUCAGUCAUGGAGUGUGACUGCAGCUUGAACAGACAUACCUGAGCUAGGUAGUUUGGGUCCUGGAACAGUGAAGCAAAAGCAGUAUAAACUUCAGUGUGGACUAGCCCCACCACCCUCAAGUAACUAUCCAGGUUUCUGGGCAGGUUUGUACAGCUAGUGCUGCCAUGGUUUUGCUGCUCUGGGACCUGAGCUAGCUAGAUGAAACAUCCCAGUUAUUGCAAUAUAUACAUACCCACCAUGUGGCCAUUCUCACUCAAGCUAGGCUAACUCCAGUGUAGAUAACUCCUAUUAAUUUUGCAGUGAAGCCAUAGCCUCAAGUGUUUCCAGCAAUUAUAAAUCCAAGUGUGCUAAGAACUGUGUGAAAGAGAAGCUGCAAGCAUUUUUUACAAGCAGCCAGUUACAAAGCACAUCAUCAUUAUAAUUAUUAUUUGGCACUUACACAGUAGAUCUCAAAGGGCUUUCCAAGCAGUUACCAACUUAUCCUUUGGUAAAUGAGAUGCAAAGGAUGAAAUAACUUGCCCAAGGUCUCACAGUGAGUCAGUUUCAUAUCCCUGUUGCCCACUCUUCCACUACUGUACUGGAAAUUGUUCCUGUUCUCGCACAGAACAUAUACAAGAACACUGCUGGUGAUGCUCUAGCCUGCCUUCUUAUUUCAGGCUGCAGCAGGUCCCUCAUUAUUUGUAUACAGAAAAAGGAUCAGCCAUGAAAUGUGUACGAAAAAGAAGCACUGCUGAGCAGUUGGAGACUUGUGGCAUCUGGCUAGACACUGCAAAGUUAAAGAAGCGCAAAAUACAGACUCUCGUAUCCAAGCCAACUUCAAACAUGCCAAAUCCACUUCUUGAGAGGAACUAUAAUAGUCACAUUUCAGUUAAUUUUACUCAGACAAGACUUUCUCAGCCAUACACCAGGCAAACUACCAUCUCUUCGUUCUUCAGCAUUCAACCAACAGGUACUGUAGAACAAUUUUUGCAAAUACACACACACACACACACACACACACACACACACACACACACACACACACACA